rnacentral:rRNA from 2 species
CUCUGGUAUUGAUUGGUGCUUGCAUCAUGAUUUACAUUUGAGUGAGUGGCGAACUGGUGAGUAACACGUGGGAAACCUGCCCAGAAGCGGGGGAUAACACCUGGAAACAGAUGCUAAUACCGCAUAACAACUUGGACCGCAUGGUCCGAGCUUGAAAGAUGGCUUCGGCUAUCACUUUUGGAUGGUCCCGCGGCGUAUUAGCUAGAUGGUGGGGUAACGGCUCACCAUGGCAAUGAUACGUAGCCGACCUGAGAGGGUAAUCGGCCACAUUGGGACUGAGACACGGCCCAAACUCCUACGGGAGGCAGCAGUAGGGAAUCUUCCACAAUGGACGAAAGUCUGAUGGAGCAACGCCGCGUGAGUGAAGAAGGGUUUCGGCUCGUAAAACUCUGUUGUUAAAGAAGAACAUAUCUGAGAGUAACUGUUCAGGUAUUGACGGUAUUUAACCAGAAAGCCACGGCUAACUACGUGCCAGCAGCCGCGGUAAUACGUAGGUGGCAAGCGUUGUCCGGAUUUAUUGGGCGUAAAGCGAGCGCAGGCGGUUUUUUAAGUCUGAUGUGAAAGCCUU